AAUCGUGUGCCUGAUGAAAAAGGAUUACCUCGAUAAGGUAAAUCAUGUAGAAUUCCUACCACUAUUA
rnacentral:tRNA from 1 species